rnacentral:lncRNA from 1 species
CAAAAUAUAAUAAAAAUUUGAAAAAAAUACUACAAUUACAUUACUUUUUUUUAAAAUAGUUCUAGAAAAAAAAUAAGAAUUAUGUUAUAACAUCAUCGGAUGACUAUUUUUGAAAUGAUAAAUUGAUGAUAAUCAAUGGACAACUUAUCAAAAACUAUUUUCAAUAAUCAUCUCUCACAAUAUAUUUUUGGAAAUAACUAUUUAUUUAAACUAUUUAUGCAAAAAUCGAGCCAAUAUGUAAUCCGAGAAAUGCUAGACAAAGACAAACUGACAUGGCAAGGGGCAAUUGCCCAGGAAUCUCGCUGAGCGCUGCACUGGAAAUUUCGUACUAUACAACAGAUGAAGCAGCAUAUAAUUAUAUUUGUAUUGUUAUUAUAUAGUUAGGCUUUGGAAACUAAUUAAUAUUAUUGUAUAGCUCGGCUUUCUCCAAAUAGAAACCCAAAUGUUAUGAGUCUGCUCAUCGUACAGCCUCCUUUCAGUUGCCUUUCCAGUUAAUUUCUUCUAUAUACUCACACGUUACCUCUCUUUUUAUUUUUAUUUUUUUUUGGGGUCCAAAAUUCAGAAUUUUGGACCACCACAAUCUGCCCUUGUUACCGUAUUUUUUUAAUAUGCAUUUCGUCAAUAACACAAUUAGUUUUAGUAUUAAAAUUGCAGUCAAUUAAUAUUAUAGACCAUAUUUGUCGAGGUAGAGGCUUGAACGUCUCUCGUUGCUUCAAGCUUUUAUUUUUAGUUCAGGAGCUAUUUCUAGUUGAUAAGAGACAUUUAUCCUAUUCAGUGAUAACCUUAAGUUUUUAUUUUUCAGUUUAAGAAUUAUUCACCGUUAAUAUGACAUGUUAUUAUCAACACUUCCGUCAUGUGUAGACUAAUCUAUUUACCUAGUCUUAGAAGAUUGAAAGAUAGUUUAAGCAUCUAACUUGGAUACCAUACAAAUAUUUAGAGACUUAUCUUAUACUCUAAAAUUAGUUUAGGAGUUGAGAGUUGCGUCAAAUUCAUAAUCUUAAUCUAAGAAUUAGGUGUAUAUAAAUCUUCCUCAACAAUAAGGAUUUCAUUUGUGCAUAAAUUGGCUGGGAUAUAUCUUAUAAAAGCUCAUUAGUUUAAAUCAUAGUCAUGUUAGUCAUGAAUCAUGAUAAUCAAUACAAUUACUAAUGACAACAAAAGCAACAGAAUUGACGAUGCAGUACCGAGAGAGAUAAGAGUUAUAAGUAAUAAAUAAAGGAGUGGGAAUAAUGAAGAAUAUCUAGGUAGUCGUGUUGGUGGUAAUGAAAUUGAAUUCAAAUCCCAUUGAGGGAUGAGAAAGGUUUUAAAUUUUCAAUAAUUUGCUUUACUUGGGAAGAAUCUGAGUGAGCUUGCAUCACACUAACUGUGGGGUUCUUGCCCAUCAUUUUGCCAUUUUUGGCCUCUUUUCAACUUGCGUAUUAAUUGAUGGCAUGCAACGCUAAGCUGGCGAUGGGCUUGCAUUUCUCUGAAUCUCUGAGCUAUUUGGUUUCAAUUGAUGUGAUGUUGUGAUGCCAUUAAUUGUUUUGCAUCUAUGAAAAUGUCUUGUUACUUGUCAGCUGUGAGUUGACGAUGACCUCUAUCUCUUUAAUAUACACUCAAACGCUUCAAAUGAAACAGCGGACGAAUCAAAAACCAGAAGUAAACUGGUUAAAACACAGUUGCAUUUUAUUAUGAUUGCGCGCCUUGAUCAAUGUACGAGUCAAAAAGUGAUAUGAUUGUUUUAUAUUUAUGGGUUGCAUGGUGUAGGCAUGGAUUCUCAAACAAACUCUUUCUCUAAGUUAAUUAUAUACUUUGAUAUAUUCCUAUGGAUCGUUGAAAGAUGAAACAAAAAUUUUUUUUUAAAAAAAACUUAAUGCUACAUCCCAAAGUGACGUAGUAUUUGACGAGCCAUUCAUUGACAGUUUAUAUACAACCAUAUUUUGAUACUGGAGCAAAAUAGAGCAAAUUGAAGCCAUUUUGGCAAUUGUAAUUUGUAAACAUAAGUAAAUUAGUAAUGCAUCGAUUCCUCCCCUUAAUUUUAAGAUGGAAGAUUUGAGUCUUUUGUCAAUUGUGGUAGUUUAUUUUCUUUGCUUCCCUUCAGUUUAUAUUUUGGACUUCAUAUGUUAGGAUAAAAUUAUAUAUUUGUACUUUUGACUUUUUGUUAUAUUGUGUAUAAUAUUCAGAAAACGAAAAAAAGAAGAAGAAAAAUCCUGACCAGUUAGUCUACUUUCAACCAUAUUAUGAAUCGUGCAUUACGGGUGUACCUCAAUAGAUUUCAGGCCAUGGAUUUACAUUUUUUGAGUAUGGUUUGCCACAACUAUAUUAAAAUUGAAGAAUUUAUAAACAAUAAAAAAUUGAACCCAUGUUCUUUUAUAAUUACAAUGGCUUAAUUUAAUGAUUGAAAAAAUAUAUGAUAAAUUAUCGUGAUUUUGGGAAUCUGAUCUAUUGACAAAUUGUUGAAUCUUUAAUAUCAGUUUUUGAAUUGAUCGGCUGAUAUUUCUCAAUUAUAACAAGAAAAAUGAAUUGCAAAUUUCUCAAGUAAUUGAAAAAAAUAAAGAGUACUAUAACAAGAUGUGCAAAACAAAAGAAUCUGGACUAUCACUUAAAAAAUAUUUUUUUAGGCAAUUAUAUCUCCUAAAAAUAGGGUUCCUAUUCAAUGUAAAGAGAAAUUUUAAAAUGCAUCAAAAGUACUAUGUCAACCAUAUAAUAGGUAAAUGAUGAUAUGAUAUGUGUGUAUUUAUUUUAAAAACAAAAAUUAUUGUGCAAGUGAUGGUUAUAUUAAAUUAAACUACAUGUUAUAAAUACAUUUGUUGGUCGUAUGACCUGUGAUGCAUUAUUACCGGCGGAAUUUAGUUGAACUACUAUAUCAGUAAAAAAUAAUUCAAUCAGUUAAUAUUUAAAAAAAAAAGGAUAAAACAAACUAACAUCCACUCACUGCUGAGUUGGGCUUGGGCCUGACAUCAACAUUUUUAAAUGUUUAUGAGUUCAUAGGCUCGAUGAAAAUUGCAACAGAUCGAAGUUGUAAAUUUAUUUUUGGUAAGAAUAAUAAUAAUAAAAUGGUGCGACAACAUCGAUAUCUCAGACAUCGUACUUGAUUAAUUUUCAUGGUGAUUGUGUCUAUAAUUGUUGGCAGACAUGGAGCUUGAUUAAUUUUUAAAUGUCCAUGAGUUCAGUGUUGACGGUCGUAUGUAGUAUGUACAUAUAUAAUUAUCGUCACCAUCAGAACCAUCAUCCUCCUAAACACAAAAAAUAAAUCCAACCAAUAUCAAUAAAUGUCCAUGAGCCACGAGAUCAGUGGCAGAGUUUUCUAAAAAGUAAGCCUGAAUUUCAAGCUUGAGCGUUGGAGGAUUUACGUCGGAAAAACUCCCGGCAUGCUCUAACCAGUUUUUGUGUGUGCAGGAGUUUAUUGAAUAGAAGUUGCAAGAGACAUAGCUCUGCUCGCCUAGAAGAGUAGCGUGAAGUAUACCUGGUUAGCUGCGAGCUCAAGAGUUGAAAAGAGAUCCUAGUCAUGGACGAGCAUAUACCAAAUCUCGCAUCAACACUUAAUCCAGUCAAUGUUUUUAGUCUGAUUGAUGGAAGCUUGUCUAGCAGAAAAGAUUUUGGUGAGCUAAUAUAGGAGCUCAAGGGAGUUAUGAUUAAUGGAGCUUCCAUAAUGGCUAAACGUGCUCCUGGAUCUAGUAAUGCAGUGCUCACAAUCUAGCCAAGCUGGCUUUUUCUUUUCCAAAGGGGUAUAUUUGGAAUGAAGAUUGUCCUGCAGAAAUUGCCAGCCGCUUGUAAUGUUUCGUUUUGUUAAUAUAUAACCAGUAUUUUCUCAAAAAAAAAAAUGUUUAAAGAUGGUUAGGGCUUUCCAAAUUACAGAAUUUUCAUAAUCCUUAUUUGUUUCUUUGUUUCUUUGCUUUGUAAGCCGCAAUUAAAGGUUUAAAUAUGAUUGUAAAAAGGUUAAAAUACAUGGAUAUAAACAAAAAUAUCUCUUGUUUAUAGAUCACAAGAGAUCUUAUUAUUAGUUUAAAUUGAACAAAUACUUAUAUAAUUGACCUAGUACAUAUCUUUUAUUUAUUCAUAUUUAACAUAAAAGAUAAUGUUAUGCUUGUAAAGUUUGCAUCCUAUAUCUUAUAUACAAAAGGAUAAUGAACAACAUUUUGAGAUGCCACAUCAUCACUUUGUGUAUAAAGAACAAAUUUUGAAGGCAUUCAUAUUACUCAACAUAAAAUCAUUCAUCUUUAGACAAUUAACUAAUGUGAUAAAAAAAAAUUUCCAUAAUAAAGAAUCAUAAGAAGAUUAAGAUUGUCAUUUGUCAUCUCAUCAACAAGAAUGCCCUUGAAUACGAUUAAAAUAAUUGAUAAAAUAUCUUUCACAGCAAGCGCAUCUGACCAUUCAUUAAAAACAUAAAAUAAACAUAUUAUUUAAACACCUGCAUUCAAACAUAUUGAGAUUUUAACUAAAUUCAAAUUUAUUUAGAUUCUAGACAAUAUCUGACAUCAUUCUCAUCAAUAUUUUCAUAGCUUUGGAUUCAAUUUUUCAAGAGUAAAUAAUACUUUUAUAUCGUAUAACUUAGAAUUCAAACUAAUCUGAUAUGUAACAUGUGAAAAUUAGGGUAGAUAGGCAGCUCCCUAAGAUUAUAAUGGUUUUAAAACUAUUUGUUAGCCCUUACAUCAAUGGGUUACCAAGGGUGAGGAUGUAGUGAAAUUAAUGCUAAUCAACAUUAUAAUUAAACGAAUUUAACGUAUAUUUUCUCUCCUCAAUCUCUUUCUCCUUCCUGAUUUGUUUUUAUCAUAAGGAAGCACAAUAGUUUUUGAUUCUUAGAAUAUAUUAAAAAAAAGAUUAUAAUAAUACAACAAUUGUUAUAUCCCUGUAGCCAUCGAAUCUGCUUAAUGAGCUUACGAAAAUAAAAAUUAUAAGAAAAAAAAAUUUAGAUCAUUUUGCUUAACUGUUUAAAAAUAAUACUAAAAGAUCAUGAAUGAGAUGUUGGCGCUAGUACAUGAUAAAUCAAACCAACGUCAAAAUAUUGGUACCUUCUUGUUAAUUCCUCCCUAUAAAGCUUUAUUUCCAUAAAAAUAUUACAACAGUAUAUGAUCAUCAAAAGUUAAUACAAAAAAAUAGAGAGCAAAUGGAUAAAUAAAUUAGAGUGCUAACCUCUGUGUUGUAUUGUAAAUACUUCAGAAUUUUUUAUUCUGUGAAUAUUCAAUAUGUAUGAAAAGAAAGCAAUUGAAAUAGAAACUUAUUUUUCUUUUCACCUCUAAAUUUCUUUCUGAGCUUUUACUUAAAAGAAUAAAAUAAUAAUUAAUCAACACAUUGGGCACACAUUAAUUUUGAUUUAUAUUUUUAAGGAAACCAAAGUACAUGGAUGCAAGCAAAGAAAAUCUCUUAUUCAUAUCUAAAGAGAUCUUAUAAUUAAGUUGAACUAAAUAGACACUCACAGUUGAUGGAUAAUAUUUUAUGUGUUUUUAUUUGUUUAAAUAUCACAUAAAACAAUAACGUUAUACUUAUAAAGUUUGUAUCUCACAUCUUACAUACAAAAGCGAUGCUAGGUAGUAUUUUGAGGUGCCACAUCAUCAUUUUGUAUCUAAAAUGUGAAUUUUUGAAAGUAUUAAAAUUAUUCAAUAUAAAAUUUUUCAAAUUUAAACAAUUAACCAGUAUAGUUAGGAUUUUUUCCGUGCUAAAGAACUACAAGAAAAUCAAGAUUGUCAUCCUUCAUCCCUUAAUCAGUAAUACUAAUCAAUGGAAUUAUGAAUAUAAUUUUCUUUGUAUCAAGGGCGUCCACCAUCCAUUCUUACUUGAAAAUUUCAUGUGUGUGUGUAGUCAUUCUUUAGUGUGAGUGCUCUUUUUUUUUAUUUUUAUGCGGACACGUUUUUAUAUCGUGUGAUUUAAUAGAUUCAAGUUUAAUAGUGAUUUAAUAGAGUCAAAUUUUAAUGUUAUUACACCGAUCUCUUUAUAGUGCAUUAAAAAAAUAACUCUAUUAGACCGCAGGCUUAACAAAUUGUCUGCAUUAAAAAAAAAAAAAAGAGAACACCCACACCUAAGAAUGAUUUUAUUUAAAGAUAGUGCUCAAUUGAACUUGCCUACAGUACCUGCAAAAGCAGUUUCCAUAUUCUUGAAUUCAGAAAUGAACUCUCCCCGUGGUACUGUAAUCAAAAGCAAGUAGCUAAUUGAGCGAGUUCUUGCUUGUGGUUUGAUAUGGUACACACACACACACACACACACACACACACACACACACACACUCACACACACACACACACAAUAUACUUGUAAUUAAUUUAGAAUGAGAUUCCGUUUCUAUUAAGUAAUGAAGAGAGCACACAAAUACAUACCAAUAUAUCUACGGCCUCUUCACAUGGAAAUAGAUUUGCACCUAAUUGAAAACUCGAUUAGAUGUUCAAUAUGAGAAGAUGGUUGCUAAAUAGUAAUUAUUUUGAUAGUUAUCUAUCCGUUUACUUGUGAGUGAACCAAGUUAUUCCUUGCAAUGCCAAUUAAUUCGAUAAAUAGUCUUUUAUGAUCAAAUUGAGAGUCAAAUGUUAGGAUUCCAUUGAUUAUUUUAAUCUUAGUGCCACAUGACCACAAUCAUCAUAACUCUUUUCUUUCUCUUAAUAUCAUAAGUUGGUAGUGGAAAUUCUUUAAUUCGGAUUAAUUUGCUUUCCUUAAUACAUCCGUCACCAAUCUGCAUGUGGGUUUCUAUUAACUAAUUAUAAAAAGGCAAAAUAACUAUUGAUUAACUUAUAAUUGAUGGAUUUAAUAGUUAUCUGCUAAAUAAUUCAGCAAAAGCAUUUAUUAAUAGGAUUUAAGUUUGGUAAUACUGUAUCUUUUAAAAUAAUUAUUGUUAACAGGGCUGUAGAAAUAAUCUGUUGUGAAGAAAAUUAGUUAAAUAUUUGAUAAAACUUAUUUUUAAAAGUAUUGUGAGUUUUAAAAGCAGUCGUAUGUGUUUAUUAAAUCAUAUUAUUAAAUUGCUAUAAGAUUACAAAUGACUGAAAUAGAUAUAACACUAAAUAAAAUUUAUUUACACAUUUGUAAAUAUGUAUAGAUUUUUUUUAUUAUGUAUAUACAAUAAUUGAUAGCUAAAAUAAAUAUUUUUAUUUUGUUAUCUCAAUCUUAUUGAUAAUAAUAUUAAUCCCAUUCAAUUUCUUGAUUUUAUUUCCUAAUUGAAUGAGGAUAAUUUUGACUUUUUAUAAUAUAUGUGAAGAUAUAUAUGAAAUUAUAACAAGUGUAAAACUGAUUCUCAAAAUUAGAUUUUGGAAUUUGAUAUUUUUUUUGAAAAACCACUUAUGACGAAAUCACUCAAUCCUACAGUAAAUUUUGAAAAGCUGAGAAGGACACAAAAGCAAUCCUAGACAAAUCCUAAGAGCUAAAUGCACCAACUCUGCUAAUUUAGUGAAUAAAUAUAUGUUAACUGGUCUUAGAUCUUUCUAAACAUAAAAACUAUUUAAAAAUUAAAAUUUUCUACCUAAUACAAGAAUUAAAAUUCAUCUAUAUUUAUAUCCCCCAAUGCAAGAAUUAAAAAUGGUACUCAACUGAAUUUGCCUAAAAUACAUGCAAAAGCAUUUUCCAUAUUCUUGAAUUCGGAAAAGAACGCUCCCUGUGGUGACCGGAGUUCAUUUCACAGAAAUAUUCAAAAAGAGAAAGCACAACUAAGCUAAUAAAAACAACCUCAGAAUAUUUUAUACAAAAUAAUUUACAGAUCAACUUAUUCAAGGUCACUUUGACACUUAACGUUACCUAUUAUUAUUGAUAUUAUUAAGAAAUCAAAGUACAUAUCAAAUAGCUAGAAUCUCCCAAGUAUCUCAGAAGAUCUUAUUAAUUAAUUGAACUAAAACAAACACUCACACAAUGGACUGACAACAGUGCAUGUCCUUUUAUAUAUUAAAUAUAAAAAAAGGAUAACACCAUACUUAUAGAGUUUGUAUUUCCAUACCUACUUACGAAGUGAUAUAAAAGGACAUUUUAGAGUGCCAACAUUAUUACUUUGUACAUACGAAAUACAAACUUAUAUAAACAUAACAUUACUCAACUGAAAACAAUUCAAAUAUAAAUCAUUAACCAGUCUUGUCAGGGUUCCUUCCAUACUGAGGGAUCAUAAGAAGGUCAAGAUUGUCAUUUACUAUCUCAUCAGCAAGAAUACCCUCUUGCUUAACAAAACGGAAACCCUCCUUUAUAACAGACAUUUCUGGCCAUUCGUUUUUACUUGAAAAUUACAUAUUAGAAAAUUUAUUUGUAAACACAUAAUUACAUGGCAAUUAGAAACGGUAAAUCAACUGAAUUCGACCUAAAAUACCUGUAAAAGCAGUUUCCAUAGUCUUCAAUUCAACUCUCCCUCUGUUUAAACAAAAAAAGUAAGUAGUUGAACGAGUUCCUGCUUCCCAUUUGAUGUGAUCUCUGUUCGUGCGUGACUCUGUGUGUGUGUGUGUGUGUGUGUGUGUGUAUUCAAGUAUCUAGUAGAUCGUGGGGGGCUGGGGCGUACUGUUGAAUGCUGAGCUUAAAUUAAUCAUAAAUCACAAAAUAAUUGUAGGUAAGACCAAUAAUUAAUUUGAUGUACCUAUUUGUUUACCUGGAUGUCACUCAAAUAAUUUUUUGGGCAAUAUCAAUUAUCAAUAUUAGUAAUUAAUGCACUACCAAAUAAUUUUCUAAGAGAUUCUAUUCUAUUUAUUGUGACAUCCAUCCAUUUUAGUUAGAGGUGAGAUUCUACAAUUUUUAAAAUUAUUGAUAUAAUCAUCCCACCACUCAAUAAAUUAAAAUGGUCCCAUGGUUGAAAUUCUCAAGUAUUUGCUAGCAAAUCUACGUAUAAUCAGUAUCUCAUGGGGUCCCCAUUGUUGAAAUUGUAAGCUGGCCUUUCAGUUCACAGAAAACACAUACAUGCUUAAAAUGCAAGUUGGCCUAAGGCCUUCCAAUUCACAUGAAGCUAUAAGCGCAAGCUUUAUCCUUUUGAGUCCCAUAUAAAUCUAAACCAUUAUGACGUGUAUAUAUUGCAUUAUUUUGUAAUCAAUAUGUUCUGCUGUCACUUAUAGAUAAUUAUAUUUAAUUUCUUCAUGCAUAGCGUUAUAGCCAGUGCUGCCCUGGCCCUGCCCUGUCGUCAUAACAUUUAAUUUUUUCUUUAAGUGAUGAGCAAAUAAUUCUCGUUUGUCCCCUUCUUCAUUAUCUGCAUUAUUUAAUAGUUGCUCCAUCACUAAUAAUUGCAGAAGGGGCAAAUAAUUCUUUUAAGUGAUGGAAGCAGAUAACCUAACUAGCUAGAUACGAUUUGGCACUGUCGACUACCAUUUUGAUCAAUAACUCGCUCAAUCUCAACUACUUGCUUUUGAUUACAUCACACCAGAUCAGUGAGAGUUAUCAUUUUCUGGAUUGAAGAGUAUGGAAGCUGCGCCUCUUAUGAAAGAGGGUUGGCCUUUGACGCCAUUUGAUGGUAUUGUUGUCGAUGAGAUAACGAAUGAUAAUCUUCAACUUCUUGUGGUUGCUCAAUAUGGGAGAAAUCCUGAUCAGAUGGGUCAAUGUUAUACAAAUUUGUGUUAUGUUUAAAUAAAUAAAAAUGACAUACUAUUGUCUUCCAUUGUGAGUGUUGAUUUGAUUCAACCAAUAAUAAGAUCUUUUGAUAUAUAUAAGAGAUCUCUUGGUUUGUAUCAUGUACUUUGAUGAUCUUUUUUUUUUUUUUUUUUGAGAAUCAUGUACUUUGAUUUUCUUAAAAAUUGAAAAAAAUUGUGUGAACACGUUGAUUUAUCAAUUACUUUUAUUAUAAAAGUGAUUGGGAUACAAAUUGUACAAACUCUUCUUAACUAACACGCUAUUGUUUAAAUAAAAAUAUAAAAUCAUCCAAUUAAUAUUGUAUUAACAUAUUUAUACAAGAAUUUAUAUCUUUGUCACUAUUAUUAUUGUUGUUAACAAAACCUCAACUCAUAAGUUAGGAAAUUUAUUAGAGAAAUGAGAAAGAAUACAAAGCCCAGAAAAUAAGCUUAAACGAAAAACAAACAAGCAAAUAAAGAUUACGAAAAUUCAUAAUUUGGGAACUGUCUUUGAAUUUGAAGAGGAACUUUGAACCAAGUUAAAUCCGCACAACUUAGCCCAAAAUGUGGACAUAUUGAGCAUGCAAGUGCUUGUGCAUUUGUAUUAACUCUAACUUAGGUUUCUUGGCAAAUAUCUUAACUCUAAUUUAACUUAGGUGUCCAUGCAAAAGUUGUAAACAAGAAAUUAAUAGUUAAAAAAAUAAAGUCAGUCAUUCACAAUAAGUAAAAAGUUCCGCUAAGAGAAAAGAAAAAAAAAGCGACUCAUUCUGAAUACGAUAAUGAAAGAGGUUCAAAUAGUAAUUAAUCAACGGUAAUUUUUUUCUGGGAGAUGGCUUUGCUUUCUUGUCCAUUUCUCCCCAUGAAUCUUAAAUUCCAUAAAAAAAUAACACCAGAAUGAUCAUAAAAAGUCAAUACAAAGAAGUAGAGAGUGCAAAAAGAUGUACAUUAGAGACCUAAUUAAUAGAUAAAUUAAAUUAGAGGGUAAUUAAGUGCUAAUCUCUGUAUUGUAUUGUAAAUGUAUAAUUGGGAGUUUUGGUUUUGUGAAAGUUUGAGUACCACACAAGAAAAGGACAUGAAUUCAAAAGAGUAACGGUGCAUUUACUUUUGAGAUUGGAGAACCGAAAUUCAAAAUCAGACUCAUUGAUGGUGUUUAUUUUACAAAAUAGAGGCAAAAAUCUGAAUCGGAAUCAUGAGAUCCACCCGAAUUUUAAAAUGAGGAAUGAGAGAUUGAUUCUCGAGGGAAUGGGAAUCAAUCUCCCAUUCCUAAGAGUUCUAAUUCUACCCCAUUAAUAUUUCAAUAUUUCAAAAAGCCCCCUUUUAAAUGAAAAAUAUAAGUACAAAAAAAUAAAAUAAAAAAGCCAAAUCCCUAAGUUACGAUACUCCUCUCAUCAUAGCUCCACUAAACCAAACGACAUCACUACUUCUCAUCACCGUUGCUAUCGAAUUCAACCAUUGUCAUUGUCAUCGUCGGUCUGUUAGCUGUGAAGAAGCAAGUCGUUGCCAGUUUCAUCUCCGUCAAAGGCCGGUUUCAUCUUGGUUCAAGGAUGCUGCUCGGGUUGACCGUUUUAUAGCCUGUUUGGGAGUGUGGUGAUGGCAGCCAAGCUACUAAAGUGUUUGGUAACACUUGUAGUUGGGCUUUGACAGCUUAGCAAUUUUUUUUUCCCAACUUCUACUCUAUAGUUAUAGCUUUUACUCCAUAGUUAUAGCUUUUACUCCACAGCAGCUGCAGUUUAAGAGUUACAGCACCUCACUCCCAAACACACCCUUAGUUUUCACCGCUCAUCUUUGCCAAUCAUUUUCACCGCUGAUUUCAAGCUUCUUAUCAUAGCUAAUUUAUUAUUACUUUAAUUUCAAUUUAUUUGCUUAUUACUAAUGCAAAAUUGGAUGGUAACCUACUAGGAAAAGUUUGCCAUUUGUUCAUUUUGGUCCAUACAUAUUUUAUAAAAUUACCUAUGAAUUUUGUAAUAUUCGCACAUAAGUCUCUCAUUAUUUAAUAAUAAUAAAGUAUUGGCAGCAAUGACGACGACGUUGACAAUAACAAUAAUAAUAGUAAUAAUUUUGUUGUUAUUAUUAUCAUUAUUAUAAAUUUUUUUUUUCAUUAUUAUUGUUAUCUAUUAUUAUUGUCUAUGUUAUUAUUAUCUUCAGUUUUACUAUUAUUUUUAUUCAUAUUAUUGUUAAUAUUAUAAUAGAUAUAAAUAAUAUUAGGGAUAACAAUUAAUAAAGGUUAUUUAGAAAUUUGAAACAGUCCAUUUCAAUUUAAGGAUAAUAUAAACACAUCAAUGGGAAUGUAUUUCAUUUUAAUUUCUAUUCAUACAACUCAAGUAAACAACUUAUAUUGAUUUCCAUUUCUCAUUCUGAUUCCUGCCCAUUUUGAAUCCAGCCCAUUCCAAUUCUCGUUUAGUAAAUAUACUAUAAGAGUCUAGACUCCUAAUAUUAGUAAGAAUCUACCAAAAGUAAAUAGCAAAUAGUUAUAUAAUUGGGUUUAACAUUAAUUCAUUGUAUUAAUUUUGUCCCUAAAAUCUCUUUACAUUCCCACAUAGGGAUAACAAUGGGGUAGAUAUGGAUUAAAUCUACCUUACUCUAUAUCCACAUCUAUGAAAAAAAUUGAGAUCAUAUCUACUCCAAUUUCAUCGCAGGUCUAUGAUUUUUGCUCCAUACUUAGAUCCAAAAUAAAUAAAUAAAUAAAGAUCCAAUCUUACUCCAAAUCCGUGAUGAAUUUAUCAAUUUUAAUUUUUUAACAAAUUAAUUUUAAACUUUUUAUAGAUUAUAAGAGAAUAUUAACAAAGUUUGCCCAUCAAGAAAAAUAAGAGAGAAAAAUAUUUGAGAAAAAAAAUGUAUUGCUAUCAACUAAAAUACAUAAUGCAUCUCAAUUAAAUUUAAGAAGAAAAUUUUCAAACUUAAUAUAAAAUUAAUGGACACUAUAUCUUCUAAGUAUGACAUUGAUAAAAUGAAUGAACACUAUAUCUUCUAAGUAUGACAUUGAUAUUAGUAGACUAGGAAUAUGUUUAAUUUGAUUGUAAAAGUAGUAAGCCAUUGCCAAUUAUUUAAUAUUUUUCAAAAUUAAAUUAAAUUAAAAGACUUUAAUUGGAUACAAUAUGGAGCUAGAUUUUAACUUCGAUUUGUGUCUGCUCCAAAUCCAUCUUGGACGUACCCAUUUAGUUCUCGAUCCUCGCCAAAUCUAUCUUAGACCAAUCUAAAUACAAUCUAUUUAAAUUUAGAUCAUUUGGAUAAUGGAUUAGACAUGUCUCAUUGUCGUCCAUAUUCCCACGCUAAUUUUCACAAAUUAACAUUAUGGAUGGAAUUGAUAACUACCCAACACAAAAGAACUUAAAUUCAAGAAAAAAAAAUCACUUUUUUUUUUAAAAAAAUCAUAUAGUACAAGUACAGUUUGAUAUAUAAGCCCACAAAAAAUGCUUAAUAAAAAUUUCAUAAUCAAAUCACAAUAAAGUCUGAUACAAAAAAUCACAUUAAUUAAACAUACAAGUCUACUCAAGGAGACUCUAAACUUCUACCUUUAGAUUAAGAGAAAGAGAUAUCAACCAACACAACCGAGAUUAUUGGCAAUUAAAUUAGCUAUGGGAAAAAAUUAAUUUUAAAUUCUGAAUGAUAUACACAUAAGCAUUGAGAUUGUAAAUUUCUUUGUUAAAAUAUUUAGCAUUUUUUAUUACUCAGUACUUAUAUAGCCUCUUGUUGUUUUCGUACUACCUUAUUAUUCUUUUCAUUUGAAAACUUUAUGUUUAAGCACAUUAAGGGAUUCAUGAGAUAAUGUGAAAACUAUGGGAGUAAAAUAUUAAUAUAAAUAAAUAAAAAAUUAGUCGAAAAAGUGACGAUCUUCCUAAGUUAUAAGAGGUAGGUAGCACUAAUCUAUUAGGCGUGAAUAGAAUUUUGGACACACGUUAAUUGAUGAGAAAAAAAACUUUGUAUCAAUUUAAGCAUAAAAUUAUUGAGAAACAUAUAGCAGCAGGACAGUUUAGCAAUUUUAUCUAGAAAAUGUUCCUUAAUGUGAUCCAUAAUAAAGAUGGAAUAAAUUAACUUUCAGAGCUAGCUAGAGGGGUCACUCAUUCAUGAACAAAAGUGUCUGGAAAAUUAAAGAAAAGUAAACUAUCUACCAAAAUUGAUUGUAAGAAUGUCUUUAAUUCGGUAGAUCAUCAACAGAUUUCAUGGAGCCGAGGAGUGAAGUGCUGCAUGCAAGGCCAUGGUGGCCGCCGAACAAACCGUGCAAAUGGAGCAAAAUUUCGUGAUACAGCAGCAGCGGCUUGAUUCACAAUCAUUUAUGGUGAAGGUUGAUUAUUCCUAUAGAAUCUUAAGUUCAUUGAAAGAUUAUUCCCUCUCACCUGAGCAGUAAUCCUUGCUUCAUUAUUAUCACACAUCAUAGCAAUGCUAAAUUGAGUAUAGUCAUUGUUCCCGCCCAUACCAUUGAAGUUUGCAGCUACUUGUUUAUUGUUCCCCAUGCCAUUGACGUCCGUCACAUCAGCCUAAAAGAAAUAUCAAAUACUUGUAGAUUUAAUCUCUAUGAAUAAGAUUAAAUUGAAAGUACGGACAAGAAAGUCACAAGCAAAUAGCUUCAACUUCAUGCCUUCGUAUAUGAAAAAAAAUAUGUUUUAGAUACAUUCUUUAGGGUUAGUGAUACUCCACCAAGCUAACAGUAAUUAGUGGUAAUAUCAAGUCCCCAUGCUUACAUCGCCAAAUUUCACAUACAAAUGAGAAUGGGAAGAGAAAGCGAAACAAUAUUAGCUAUAAAUUUAUAUUAAGCAGUAAUUAAUCCCAAUUCAUUAUUUAUUUAUUGUAAUGCAAUGAAUUAUGUUAAGGCAAAUGAAAGAGUUGUAAAAAAAUUUCAAGCCGCACAACAUAGAUAGCAUGACCCGAAUGCACUAAUCUUACAAGAUAUCUGCAGAAUGAAACGUUACUUAUAAAGGUAAAAGAGACCCGCUGUUGCUUUUGCAUGCAUGUGACAAAGGUAAGCAGCACCCACUUUCUGUUUCUUGGUGUUGUUUUCAUUUAUUUUUUCAUAUGAAUUUUAUAUCAAUGAAAUAAAAAUUAAUCAUAUAUAAUAAAUAUAAUUUUUAAAUAAAUAAUUUUAUAAAAAUAUUAGAAUUUUUUUAUUAUACAAUUGGUAAGUUAAAAUAAUUUGACUUUCAAGUCACAUUAUCUAGCGUUUGUUAGAUACUUAAAUAUGAUAAUUUUUAAACUACAAUUAUCUAAAUUCAGCGCCUUAUAAAAAUUUAUCCACUUUCUUUUAUAAUAGAAUUGAUAAUCUUUUCUAUUUUUAUAAAAAAAAAAUGUUUGUGUAUUAAACAAUUGAUUCUCUUCUGAAUUUUCAAUAUAUGAUAGUAUUUUUUUUUUCUUGUUUCUAUUAGAGAAAUUUAAAGUCUAUCGGUAUUAAUUUACAUGCAAUAGUGUCCUUAGAGACCUGACUGGGCUGCAUUGAGUUAAAAACUCUUGGCUGGCCCGGUUCCGAGCUGAGCCCAGACACUUCCAUUGAAGUCGAGGAUUGGUCGGCGAUCAAACAUGGCCAAGCCCAUGCAGACCGCAAAGAUAUACUUUCAAAACAAGGCUGCGAGGACAGUCAAUUUCUCGAAAGCUCACUGAAUCAAGCAUAAAACUCUUUUAGGUUUCCAUUAGAGGACAAGUUUUGCACAAGAAUUAAAAAGCAUCCAAAGUUGUCUUCAACAGCAACAGGCCCCAGCUUCCAUCGUGCAAAGUCUUGACUCUUCGAGAAGAGCCAUGUGAAAAAAAUAAGCAUGUAGAUUAAGAGAACAGAGAUUUUGUUGUGAAUCGUUCGAGGAAAUUGUGAGGUGGUGGAACCACGGUGGCGAGCGAAUGGAUGUGGCGGUGAUGGUUGUGAAUGGCUGCAGCGGUGGUGCUGGUGGUUGCUGUAGAAAUUAGAUUAUGGAUUUUGUUUUACUUGAAUAUUAUUUAAAUUGUUUAAACUAGUAUUACAAUUGAACGGCGCAGAUUAAAGGAAGAAAGAGAGAGAGAGAGAGAGAAAAAAGGAGAAAUCUUUCCCGCCAAAUCUAACAGAAAAAAACCUCCUUCACUCUCUCACUCCCUCUCCCCCUUUCAUUUCAGUUUUCAAACUCCCUCUCAUCCCAGGAAGAAAGAAACUCGUCAAUGGCCAUUUCACUUGAACUCACAGCAUCAUGCGUACAAUAGCAUUUAACUCUCGUCUCCCACUGAAAUGCACCGAAUGCACUUAUCUCACCGCGACGCAAGCAACCUGUUCUCCAUCCGGCAUCUUGACCGUCCGAUUGCCUAACGUCCAUCAGUCAUCGCCAAUCAAACGGCUCAGCUAAAGAAGUGAACAAUUACAAUAAAACAACCAAUUAGCACCCAGUCACUCUUUCCCGCCAAGUCUAACAGAACGAAACCACCUUUCACUCUCUCACUAGCCCCAUUCGUUUAACACCCGCAACAAACAAA